UCCGGUUGAUCCCGCCAGACCGACUGCUAUUUGGGUGAGAAUAAGCCAUGCGAGUUGAAUGGAAUACCUAAAUUUUCCAUAGCAAACUGCUCAGUAACACAUGAUCAACUUACCCUAUAGAGAAAAAUAACCUCGGGAAACUGAGGAUAAUGUUUCAUAGUUGAAAAGGCUUGGAAAAGUUUUUCAAUCAAAAGGAUAAGAAAAAUGGUUCUUCUCCGCUAUAGGAUAGGAUCGUGGUCGAUUAUGGUUGUUGGUGAGGUAAUGGCUCACCAAGCCGAUAAUCGAUAGGGGCCGUGAGAGCGGGAGCCCCGAGAUGGGUACUGAGACAACGACCCAGGCCUUACGAGGCGCAGCAGGCGCGAAACCUCCGCAAUACACGAAAGUGUGACGGGGUUACCCAAAGUGUUCAGUUUUGAACUGUGGUAGGUGAGUAAUGUCCCCUACUAGAAAGGAGAGGGCAAGGCUGGUGCCAGCCGCCGCGGUAAAACCAGCUCUUCAAGUGGUCGGGAUAAUUAUUGGGCUUAAAGUGUCCGUAGCCGGUUUAGUAAGUUCCUGGUAAAAUCGGGUAGCUUAACUAUCUGCAUGCUAGGAAUACUGCUAUACUAGAGGGCGGGAGAGGUCUGAGGUACUACAGGGGUAGGGGUGAAAUCUUAUAAUCCUUGUAGGACCACCAGUGGCGAAGGCGUCAGACUGGAACGUGCCUGACGGUGAGGGACGAAAGCCAGGGGAGCGAACCGGAUUAGAUACCCGGGUAGUCCUGGCCGUAAACGAUGCAUACUAGGUGAUGGCAUGGCCAUGAGCCGUGUCAGUGCCGUAGGGAAACCGUUAAGUGUGCCGCCUGGGAAGUACGGUCGCAAGGCUAAAACUUAAAGGAAUUGGCGGGGGAGCACCACAAGGGGUGAAGCCUGCGGUUCAAUUGGAGUCAACGCCGGAAA
rnacentral:rRNA from 1 species